rnacentral:rRNA from 1 species
UACAGGGGGGUGCAAGCGUUGCUCGGAAUUACUGGGCGUAAAGCGUGCGCAGGCGGUUUUGUAAGUCUGUCGUGAAAUCCCCGGGCUUAACCUGGGAAUUGCGAUGGAGACUGCAAGGCUAGAGUCUGGCAGAGGGGGGGUAGAAUUCCACGUGUAGCAGUGAAAUGCGUAGAGAUGUGGAGGAACACCGAUGGCGAAGGCAGCCCCCCUGGGUCAAGACUGGACGCUCAUGCACGAAAGCGUGGGGAGCAAACAGG